rnacentral:tRNA from 2 species
GGCUGGUUAGCUCAGUUGGUUAGAGCGUGGUGCUAAUAACGCCAAGGUCGUGGGUUCAAUCCCCGUAACGGCCG